rnacentral:misc_RNA from 1 species
GGCAAUCUCAUGAUGGAGACAUAGUCAUAUAUCUCUUUAUGAAUAUCUUGGAAUUUGGUGGUAGAGGAUAAGGUUACUACAAAGGUUCCUUCAAAUGUAUUAUUUUUUUGCUCAGGAAGUCUUUUAGGGAAGAAUCUUAAAGAUUGAUAAUUUGAUGAAAAAAGCUUGCAAAAUAGAUGGUUCUCUAUGGAGGAAAGAAAGGAAAUUGGAGAAUAAUUUACUUCAUUAUGGAUUUAAUGUUUGGAAGUGUUUGCAUUUUAGAGCUAAGCGUAAAGAGAUGAGAGCUGCGAUUUUUUAAGGUUCUAUUUAGCAAUAACUUUUAAAAUAAUGUUUAGUAUUUUGAUUAGGGUUAAAAAACUAUAUCUUUUAUUUAUACUUUUUAGUCG